rnacentral:tRNA from 1 species
GCGGGGAUGGCGGAAAUGGUAGACGCGUAAGACUAAGGAUCUUAUGGCCACAAGCCGUGGGAGUUCGAUUCUCCCUCUCCGCACCA